GACGAACGCUGGCGGCGUGCCUAAUACAUGCAAGUUGAGCGCUGAAGGUUGGUACUUGUACCAACUGGAUGAGCAGCGAACGGGUGAGUAACGCGUGGGGAAUCUGCCUUUGAGCGGGGGACAACAUUUGGAAACGAAUGCUAAUACCGCAUAAAAACUUUAAACACAAGUUUUAAGUUUGAAAGAUGCAAUUGCAUCACUCAAAGAUGAUCCCGCGUUGUAUUAGCUAGUUGGUGAGGUAAAGGCUCACCAAGGCGAUGAUACAUAGCCGACCUGAGAGGGUGAUCGGCCACAUUGGGACUGAGACACGGCCCAAACUCCUACGGGAGGCAGCAGUAGGGAAUCUUCGGCAAUGGACGAAAGUCUGACCGAGCAACGCCGCGUGAGUGAAGAAGGUUGUCGGAUCGUAAAACUCUGUUAGUAGAGAAGAACGUUGGUGAGAGUGGAAAGCUCAUCAAGUGACGGUAACUACCCAGAAAGGGACGGCUAACUACGUG
rnacentral:rRNA from 1 species